rnacentral:tRNA from 1 species
GGGGCAGUAGCUCAGUUGGGAGAGCAUCACGUUCGCAACGUGGGGGUCGUGGGUUCAAAUCCCAUCUGCUCCA